CGUGCUUAACACAUGCAAGUCGAACGCUGAAGCCUGGCUUUUGUUGGGUGGAUGAGUGGCGAACGGGUGAGUAACACGUGAGUAACCUGCCCUCUUCUUUGGGAUAACGCCCGGAAACGGGUGCUAAUACUGGAUAUUCACUUGCCUUCGCAUGGGGGUGGGUGGAAAGGGUUUUUUCUGGUGGGGGAUGGGCUCGCGGCCUAUCAGCUUGUUGGUGGGGUGAUGGCUUACCAAGGCUUUGACGGGUAGCCGGCCUGAGAGGGUGACCGGUCACAUUGGGACUGAGAUACGGCCCAGACUCCUACGGGAGGCAGCAGUGGGGAAUAUUGCACAAUGGGCGCAAGCCUGAUGCAGCGACGCCGCGUGAGGGAUGGAGGCCUUCGGGUUGUGAACCUCUUUCGCUCAUGGUCAAGCCGCAACUCAUGGUUGUGGUGAGGGUAGUGGGUAAAGAAGCGCCGGCUAACUACGUGCCAGCAGCCGCGGUAAUACGUAGGGCGCGAGCGUUGUCCGGAAUUAUUGGGCGUAAAGGGCUUGUAGGCGGUUGGUCGCGUCUGCCGUGAAAUCCUCUGGCUUAACUGGGGGCGUGCGGUGGGUACGGGCUGACUUGAGUGCGGUAGGGGAGACUGGAACUCCUGGUGUAGCGGUGGAAUGCGCAGAUAUCAGGAAGAACACCGGUGGCGAAGCGGGUCUCUGGGCCGUUACUGAACGCUGAGGAG
rnacentral:rRNA from 1 species